UCCCUGGUAGCUCAGAUGGUAAAGUAUCUGCCUGCAACACAGGAGACUUGGGUUCAAUCCCUGGGUGGGGAA
rnacentral:tRNA from 1 species